rnacentral:rRNA from 1 species
CCCUUAGAUGUCCUGGGCCGCACGCGCGCUACACUGAGUGUCUGAGAUACGAGUCUGCCUGGUCCGGCAAGGUCUAGGUAAUCGCUAAAAGACACAUCAUGCUUGGGAUAGAUUAUUGCAAAUAUUAAUCUUGAACGAGGAAUUCCUAGUAAGCGCAAGUCAACAGCUUGCGUUGAUUACGCCCCUGCCCUUUGUACACACCGCCCGUCGCUACUACUGAUUGGAUGUUUAAGCGAGGUUCUCGAACUGCUAGCGACUUAGCUUCGGUGAGGUCGCAGUGUGGGAAGUGAACCUAGCUUUGGUGUCUAGAGGAAGUAAAAGUCGUAACA